GACGAACGCUGGCGGCGUGCCUAACACAUGCAAGUCGAACGAAGCAUUUAAGUGAAUCCCUUCGGGGUGAAGCUUUUAUGACUUAGUGGCGGACGGGUGAGUAACGCGUGAGUAACCUGCCUUUCAGAGGGGGAUAACAGUUGGAAACGACUGCUAAUACCGCAUAACGUAUUUUGAUCGCAUGGUCGAGAUACCAAAGCUGAGGCGCUGAAAGAUGGACUCGCGUCUGAUUAGAUAGUUGGUGGGGUAACGGCCUACCAAGUCGACGAUCAGUAGCCGGACUGAGAGGUUGAACGGCCACAUUGGGACUGAGACACGGCCCAG
rnacentral:rRNA from 1 species